rnacentral:rRNA from 1 species
UACGGAUGGGGCGAGCGCUGGCCGGAUUUAUUGGGUUUAAAGGGUGCGUAGGUGGGGUCUCAAGUCUGGUUUGAAAGUUAGCUGCUCAACAGUUAGACGUGGCUGGAAACUGGGGUUCUGGAAUGGGUUGGCGGCUGCCGGAACGGGUCAUGUAGCGGUGAAAUGCAUAGAUAUGACCCAGAACACCGAUUGCGAAGACAGGCAGCUACGACCUGAUUGACACUGAGGCACGCGCGCAUGGGUAGCGAACAGG